UACGUAGGGUGCAAGCGUUAAUCGGAAUUACUGGGCGGAAAGCGUGCGCAGGCGGUUGUGCACGACACGUGUGAAAUCCCCGGGCUUAACAUGGGAAUCGCAUGUGUGACUGCACGGCUAGAGUGUGACAGAGGGGGGUAGAAUUCCACGUGUAGCAGUGAAAUGCGUAGAUAUGUGGAGGAAUACCGAUGGCGAAGGCAGCCCCCUGGGAUAACACUAACGCUCAUGCACGAAAGCGUGGGGAGCAAACAGG
rnacentral:misc_RNA from 1 species